rnacentral:tRNA from 1 species
UGGCUCAAUGGUAGAGCGUUCAUCUCAAAUACCAAAUGUCGUGGGUUCAAAUCCCAG